rnacentral:rRNA from 1 species
GCAAGUCGAACGAAGUACCCGUACCGGAGUUUUCGGACGAAGGAACGGACUACUUAGUGGCGGACGGGUGAGUAACGCGUGAGCAAUCUACCUUGUAGAGGGGGAUAACACAGGGAAACUUGUGCUAAUACCGCAUAAUGUAUCAUGGAGACAUCUCUGAGAUACCAAAGGAGUAGUCCACUAUAAGAUGAGCUCGCGUCCGAUUAGCCAGUUGGUGAGGUAACGGCCCACCAAAGCAACGAUCGGUAGCCGGACUGAGAGGUCGGCCGGCCACAUUGGGACUGAGACACGGCCCAGACUCCUACGGGAGGCAGCAGUGGGGAAUAUUGCACAAUGGAGGAAACUCUGAUGCAGCAACGCCGCGUGGAGGAAGAAGGUUCUCGGAUUGUAAACUCCUGUCAUACGGGAAGAAAAUGAUGGUACCGUAAGAGGAAGCCACGGCUAACUACGUGCCAGCAGCCGCGGUAAUACGUAGGUGGCGAGCGUUGUCCGGAUUUACUGGGUGUAAAGGGCGUGUAGGCGGAUAAGCAAGUCAGGUGUGAAAUACCACGGCUCAACUGUGGGGCUGCACUUGAAACUGCAUAUCUUGAGUGAGGUAGAGGCAAUCGGAAUUCCCGGUGUAGCGGUGAAAUGCAUAGAUAUCGGGAGGAACACCAGUGGCGAAGGCGGAUUGCUGGGCCUUAACUGACGCUGGGGCGCGAAAGCGUGGGUAGCAAACAGGAUUAGAUACCCUGGUAGUCCACGCCGUAAACGAUGGAUACUAGGUGUGGGAGGUAUCGACCCCUCCCGUGCCGCAGUUAACACAAUAAGUAUCCCACCUGGGGAGUACGACCGCAAGGUUGCAACUCAAAGGAAUUGACGGAA